GUGAGGCUCGGCGAGCGGGCCUGCGGACGAGGGAGCCGUACCCGCACCACGACAAGACGGACUCACG
rnacentral:ncRNA from 1 species